UGGUGACUAUAGCAAGGAGGUCACACCUGUUCCCAUGCCGAACACAGAAGUUAAGCUCCUUAGCGUCGAUGGUAGUCGAACUUAGUCUAAAACGUCAAAAUA
rnacentral:rRNA from 1 species